rnacentral:rRNA from 1 species
UGAGUAACCUGCCCUUAACUCUGGGAUAAGCCUGGGAAACUGGGUCUAAUACCGGAUAUGACUCCUCAUCGCAUGGUGGGGGGUGGAAAGCUUUAUUGUGGUUUUGGAUGGACUCGCGGCCUAUCAGCUUGUUGGUGAGGUAAUGGCUCACCAAGGCGACGACGGGUAGCUGGUCUGAGAGGGCGACCGGCCACACUGGGACUGAGACACGGCCCAGACUCCUACGGGAGCAG